ACACGGGAGAGGAGGUGGUCCAGACUUGUGUAGUAGUUGGACUCGUGAGGUGACUGUCAGCUAGGCCGGUCUCCUUGUGCUCACCUCCUUGGUGUCCCUGAGGGCACCGGCCGGCGAGUACCAGGCAGUCACCGGGCCCCCGGGUGCCGUCGUUCAGUCCCGACGGCCCGCGCACCGCUUCUGCGGGCGCGGAGCAACCCGGGGGUUUUCACGU
rnacentral:sRNA from 1 species